rnacentral:tRNA from 1 species
GUAGGUUACUUAAACCCCUGAAUUGUGGUUUCAGCAACGUCUAGAGACCCUUUUUC